UUAAACUCAUCUGCUGUGUGAUCCUUCUAAAAAAUCGCCUACAAGUGAGAGGCAACAUUUACCCCUCUCCUUCGACAUUUCACCCUCUCCGCUUUACGCAAUGUAGGCCUAUCCAUGAAGAAACUGUAAAGUGUUAAAUGUUAAAAAUACCAAUUCGCCGAAUUUCUCAUGCUGAAAGAGGACUCCGCAACUCGCGAGCGCGGCUCUGGUGCGUCUGUGCAGUAGACUCUGAAAAGAAAACUAUUAAUUUACAGUUGGGAGCACGUCGCUGCAAAAAGGACAUUGAAAACCUAUUUUUUCACUUUAAGACAAAUACGUUUAAAAAGCAAACUGGCUCACGUUCUUCCAAACCAACCCAGUUUGACAGCUGCUCUUCACCCCCUUUGGAGGACUGUCGGCAGCAAGAGGAUGGCAUCAGAACUGGCAAUGAGCAACUCCGACCUGCCCACCAGUCCCCUGGCCAUGGAAUAUGUUAAUGACUUCGAUCUGAUGAAGUUUGAAGUGAAAAAGGAGCCGGUGGAGCCCGAUCGCAACAUCAGCCAGUGCAGCCGCCUUAUUGCCGGGGGAUCCUUGUCUUCCACACCGAUGAGCACGCCUUGCAGCUCGGUGCCCCCUUCUCCAAGCUUCUCGUCACCCAGUCCGGGGUCGGGGAGCGAACAGAAGGCACACUUGGAGGAUUUCUACUGGAUGUCCGGUUAUCAACCGCAGUUGAAUCCGGAGGCGCUGGGCUUCAGCCCCGAAGACGCAGUUGAGGCGCUGAUCAACAGCAGUCACCAGCUCCAGUCCUUCGAUGGCUAUGCUAGAGGGCAGCAGUUUGCCGGCGGAGCCGGAGGAGGAGGCACCAUGGGCGGAGAAGAGAUGGGCUCUGCCGCGGCGGUGGUGUCCGCAGUUAUCGCCGCCGCAGCAGCCCAGAACGGGGGUCCCCACCACCACCAUCACCACCACAACGGCGGCCACCAUCACCAAUCACCUGGUGUCUCGUCCAACGGCAGCUCCGGAGGAAACCACCCACACAUGGGACAUUUGGACGACCGGUUUUCGGACGACCAGCUGGUGGGCAUGUCGGUGCGGGAGCUCAACCGGCAGCUACGGGGAGUCAGCAAGGAAGAGGUGAUCCGGCUGAAACAGAAGAGGAGGACCCUAAAGAACAGAGGCUAUGCGCAGUCCUGCCGCUACAAGCGGGUGCAGCAGCGGCACGUCCUGGAGGGCGAGAAGACGCAGCUCGUCCAGCAAGUCGACCACCUCAAGGCGGAGAUCUCCAGGCUGGCCCGGGAGAGGGACGCAUACAAAGAAAAAUAUGAGAAGCUCAUCAGCAACGGCUUCAGAGAAAAUGGAUCCAGCAGUGACAACAACCCUUCCUCCCCGGAGUUUUUCAUGUCAUCCAGAAAAUUCCUCCAUCUGUGAUCGAGAGCCUCGCCCCUUCCUGCCCUUGGCCUUGAUGUCUGAGAUGUUCUAGUGUGUCUGUGUGUGUGUGUGUGUGUGUGUGUUCAGACCUGACUGGGAGGACGGCAGGCAGGCACCUUACCCUAGUGGUGGCCCUGGCAGAGGGGGACUGGAGUUCAACACCCAGCAGGGGGAAAGAGACCCAGAAUCUGCUGACAAGGACAAAGUGACAGAUAACCUGGCGACUGAACGCUGAUGACUUAAGAGUGACUGACCAAUGGCAUGAGGAACCCCACAAAGCACAACAACAUCUAAAGAUGACUUCCCUGGAGAAGAAGAAAAGACCCCCUAAAAGACCCCCUGCAGAGAAAUGCUUCAGAGCCUCUUCCUACUCCCUCUUUCCUCUCCGCUAUUUUACCUACAGCUUUUUUGUAAGAAAACAAAAACAAAAACAAAACACUGACUCAAAUGAUGCAUCAAGAUGAUUGACAACAUCAGAAGAAUAUUACUGGAGAAACCAUUUCCUCUGUAGGGGGGGGGGGUAAACAAAACUUUGAUGCAUGUUACUGUAAGUAGUUCAUCUAAAAACCAACCUUUUUCCCCCAAGUGGGAUCCUCCACUAAGAAGACUCAUCCAAGUCCAGCAUUCCUGAUAUAGGAUAAAAUACCCAAGCAACCCACCUCCUCCCUCUGAAAUCCCUUACUCUAUCUACCGUAUCAGAGGUCAUUGUAACUACCAUUGACAAUAUGUUCCUCGUUUUAGAGAACUUACUUCCUGUAUCAUUUUGGAGUUAGUUGGACUGUAAGACUACUAUCGUGUAUACUAUUUGCAUAAUGAACCAGUCUUCCUCUCCAAUGGACAUGAGUGAUGUACUAUAGCAUGGAUCUGACUUUACUGUGUUCCUCAGUAUGCUUGUAGAUCACAAAACUCAUAAUUGUGAAUAGUACAACGAUUACACCUUUUUAAUCCUAGAUUCCUAUCUUUACCAGGCAGUAUUAACUUACUGUAUACUAUGUAGGGCAUUUUGUUGACCUGUACAUUUGACUAAAUGCAUAGAAAUGCAAGUAAUAGCUCAUUGUAUUAUUUGAAUACCUGCAGACAUAUUAGGGAAACAUUUCUGCCUAUAAAGACAAUGGGACUGUGA